rnacentral:rRNA from 1 species
CAACAGGGAUUGCCCUAGUAACGGCGAGUGAAGCGGCAACAGCUCAAAUUUGAAAUCUGGCUCCUUCGGGGCCCGAGUUGUAAUUUGUAGAGGGUGCUUUGGCGUUGGCCCUGGCCUAAGUUCCUUGGAACAGGACGUCAUAGAGGGUGAGAACCCCGUACGUGGCCGCCGGCCUUCGCCGUGUAAAGCCCCUUCGACGAGUCGAGUUGUUUGGGAAUGCAGCUCUAAAUGGGAGGUAAAUUUCUUCUAAAGCUAAAUAUUGGCCAGAGACCGAUAGCGCACAAGUAGAGUGAUCGAAAGAUGAAAAGCACUUUGGAAAGAGAGUCAAAAAGCACGUGAAAUUGUUGAAAGGGAAGCGCUUGCAGCCAGACUUGCCUGUAGUUGCUCACCCAAGCUCCUGCUUGGUGCACUCUUCUGCGGGCAGGCCAGCAUCAGUCCGGGCGGUCGGAUAAAGGCUUUGGGAAUGUGGCUCUCUUCGGGGAGUGUUAUAGCCCAUUGCGCCAUGCGACCAGCCUGGACUGAGGUCCGCGCAUCUGCUAGGAUGCUGGCAUAAUGGCUGUAAGCGGCCCGUCUUGAAACACGGACCAAGGAGUCUAACAUCUAUGCGAGUGUUUGGGUGUCAAGCCCGGGCGCGCAAUGAAAGUGAACGGAGGUGGGAACCCCUCGGGGCGCACCAUCGACCGAUCCUGAUGUCUUCGGAUGGAUUUGAGUAAGAGCAUAGCUGUUGGGACCCGAAAGAUGGUGAACUAUGCCUGAAUAGGGUGAAGCCAGAGGAAACUCUGGUGGAGGCUCGCAGCGGUUCUGACGUGCAAAUCGAUCGUCAAAUUUGGGCAUAGGGGCGAAAGACUAAUCGAACUAUCUAGUAGCUGGUUCCUGCCGAAGUUCCCCCUUCAGGAUAA